rnacentral:rRNA from 1 species
UACGGGGGGGGCAAGCGUUGCUCGGAAUUACUGGGCGUAAAGGGCUCGUAGGCGGCCAACUAAGUCAGACGUGAAAUCCCUCGGCUUAACCGGGGAACUGCGUCUGAUACUGGAUGGCUUGAGGUUGGGAGAGGAAUGCGGAAUUCCAGGUGUAGCGGUGAAAUGCGUAGAUAUCUGGAGGAACACCGGUGGCGAAGGCGGCAUCCUGGACCAAUUCUGACGCUGAGGAGCGAAAGCCAGGGGAGCAAACGGG